CCUUGUUAUUUUCAAUUUUCAAUUUCCCAAGCCAAAGAGAUUUCAAUUACGGAUAACAUCAGAUAUUAUUAUUCAGAUCCAGGCCUUGGCCUUGGAAAUUGAUAAUCAGUGCAAAAUCUUGGGAUUUAAAAAUCAGUGUUUGGUUGGCAAUGACAUAUUUCUCACUCACAGUCACAGCUCACCCAGCCCUUCCUCUCUCUGCCUCUGAAACUUCCGAUCCAAACCAGGGACCCAAUGAAGAUACUUUGAGCAAUCAAUCUAGGGAGUUGAUAUUAUUACCUUAUAGCAGCAGAUAGGUUUGAGAGAUAGUCUUGGUGGAAUCUUAUCCUCUUAUCAUCCUGUAAAGCCUUGUCUAAAGCUAUAGAAGGUUUAUUUGGAUCAUCCAUACCUGUUGUAAUGAAUUUAAAUUAUGUGAUCUUACAUCAAAGUGCAAGUUUAGCCUUUUGAUAUGAAACCACUCACCAUUUUCUGUUAUAAUAACUGGAGGGUUCCCAUACUUAUCUUUCACAUAAUUUGCCAACUUUCGGAUGCCCCAUGGAACUAUGCGUAUCCAACGGGAAGCUGCCUGGAGGAGGUAAAUAUCAUAAGCUAACUCUGUUUAAAACCUAUAUUAGAAUCCUAGGCUUAAAGACUCAUAGGUACAUACUCUUUCUCCAAUGGCAACUCCACCUCGGUAUGCUACAAUAGAGGACAUGUGUAGAUUGUUAGUCAAAAUUGUGAUAUACACACACAGAGACACAAAUGUUAGAUGUAGGAGAUUGUGACUUGACAUCUUACGGGUUGUAAUGACAGCAGCAUCAGCUAUAGCAUCCUUCAAUAUCAAUUUUCUAAUCUGAGCCCUGUCGUUCCGGGCAUACAAUGUGGUAUAGUGAUUUAUGCCAAGAAAGUCAAAGGAUCCCAGCAGGAAUUUUGAGGUUGCAGGUGAAAUCUCUGGUAAUCUCUUACCAACAAACUUCUUCAUUGAAAGAGGGUACUCACCAAGCAGAAGUGGAUCAAGGAACCUGAUUCACUUUGAUUUGUUGCAUUUAAUUAUUUAUGAAAGUUGAUAUCUUCUCAAAUGUUGUGAAGUUGAAUUUUUACAUAAGAAAUUACCAUCCAAGCCCAAAAUCUAUUGAUCUGUAUGCCGCAUCUCUAUCCUCAUCAGUAUCGGAUAUGGGUUCAUACCAUUUGGCAUCUAAUGCUAUUCCUAUUUGGCCUCCUUGUCCUUCCUGGAUGAUCCAUUUCAACAAAAAAUAAAGAUAAAAAUACAAAUAAAUAUAUUUUUCCUCCGAUUUCUUUUCACACUUGGAAGACAAGAGUCUGUUAGAAGGAUCAUGUAUGCAAAUUAGAGCACCUUAAAAUGCAGCUGGUAACUAUGAUAAGCAGCAGCAUGAGACAACAGGAUGUUGUGAGCGACAAUGUAUGGUUCAGUGGAUGAUUUUCCCUUCUUACAGAACAGACGACCAAGAAUUGAACAUCUCCCAGGAGCUUGAAUACCUAAGUCGUAACCUUGGAUUGAGAAACCACGAGGUUCAUUGAAGGUGAUCCAGCGCUUUACUCUAUCUCCAAAAACUUUGAAGCAGGUGAAGGCGUAAUAUUCAAAGUCUUUUCUGUAAGUUAAUAUAGGCUAUUGAGAAGAUUGGUUGGUAUUUUAAUAAUUUUUUAUAUGAUUUUGUAUUACUUACACUAUCUGUUUGUUCAACCAUCCUUCAUAUUUAUCUUCAAGUGUCUGUGGAAGAUCCCAGUGAUAUAGAGUUACAUAAGGCUGGAUUCCUGAUUGAAUGAACAUCCUAACCUUAGAGAACAUUGUGCCCAAAAAAAGAAGGCAAAAAAAAUUGUAACUGAUGUUUCUUUAAUGAACCUUUUUCCAGUAAAGCAUUUAUGAGGCAGUUGUAGUAGUUUAUUCCUUCUGCAUUAGGUUCUCCUGUUCCAUCUGUUAAAGGUUAUUUUAAAAGUAAUUAGUGGUUAACAGAUGGUAAUGAAAUAUAGAUAAAAGUAACUUUUUUUGGCAGAAUCAUAUCUUACUUGGAAAGAUUCUUGACCAUGAUAUUGAGAAUCUAUAAGCAUCCAUGCCCAAAUCCUUCAUCAAGUCUACAUCACUCUGUAAGAUAUGAUUUUUUUAUCUAACUUCGGUCAGAAGCAGACAAACUAGAGUCUUAUAUUGACAUAGAAUAUUUUAAAACUCAUGCCAAUUGUCUGCUAUGAUACUUCAUAAUUUUCAAAACUUGCUAAUACAUCAUCUUCAUCAUCAUCAGCACCUUCUCAAUAUUCUUACUUAAUCUCAUAUGAUUGUUAUGAAUUGAUUAAAUUAGUUAUUCUUGUCUAAACGAUUCCUUCCCCAAUUAUGGCCAUGUACUGUCACUAUAAAUUUUGAGUGUCAGUUUUGGUUAGCAAGGGAGUUUCGCUAGUCCUAUAUUGACCGAAAGUAUUUUAUGCAUUUUGGCAAUUGUUUUAAUAAGAGAAGUACAUUUAGGCCAAUUGUCUUCUUUGGAGUCUUAUUCUUACAUUAUUAAAGUUGGUGAUACAUCAUUGUCAGCAUCAUGCCCCAUCAUCUCAAUUAUCUUAUUUUCUAAAAGCCUCUAGAUUGUUAGAAUUUUGUAUUAGGAAUUCUUAUCCAAUUUUCUUUCUCAACUUAUAGACAUCUAAAAAAUUGCUCUCGUGUAAAAUGAACAAGUUUGUUUUUAAUUAUAAUAGAAUGAUGUUGUACGCGCAAGGAAAGUGGAGAAACAGUAGAUCAUCUCCAACUUCAACGUUUGGUGGCAAGAAUAAGAUAGCUCUGGUCAUUAUUCUUGUCUUUUUUGGGGGGUUAAAUGAAUGAUGCCAAAGACCAUUGUUCUUUUGUGCUCUUGCUGGCUAAGGAAGCAUAGUUGGGCUACAAAUGGUAAAAUCUGGAAAGCUAUUCGGCUUUUGUUAUGUGGAUUAUUUGGGAAGAAAGGAAUAACCAAACCUUUGAAGGGUUUGAUCAUUCAGUGAUUUCACUCAAAUCUUUAUUCUUGACAAGUUUGUAUGAUUGAUGAAAAGUAUUAGCUAUUAUUCAUUCUUCUCUUUUGCUGAAGUUGUUGAUCUUUUAAACUUCAUAUUGUAAUUUUUCUUUUUGGAAUUGCUCUAUUAUGCCUCCUGUGUACUGGAGUAAUCUUCUUUUCUUAGUAAAUGGCUUCUCUACUCUUCAAAUAUGAAGUAGUUUGUUGUAACUCAUGUAUGAUUAAAGUUGAAAUUCUCUCCCAAAAAAAAAAAAA